rnacentral:rRNA from 1 species
AUCGGACGUGGCACGAACUGGCGGUACUGUUUCGUUUCACCCCGAAAUGUGUUAAGAAUCCGUGCGCUGUAGGCUGCGCGCUGGCCGCGUGCAAGGCGCGCUAAACCCUUGAUGGUUCAACACUCACAAAUAGCACCUGGGUAUUCCAGUCGCUGGAGUCGCUAAGCAAACUCAUGACUACACUUUCCAUGAAUUCGUCGUCCGCCAGUGCGUUUGAAACUACAAAGCUAGAA